UUUGGCAUUCUGAAACUACGAAAGAAUGCUAUCAAGCGAAGAUUUGUU
rnacentral:misc_RNA from 1 species